rnacentral:rRNA from 1 species
UAGGGAAUCUUCCACAAUGGACGCAAGUCUGAUGGAGCAACGCCGCGUGAGUGAAGAAGGUUUUCGGAUCGUAAAGCUCUGUUGUUGGUGAAGAAGGAUAGAGGCAGUAACUGGUCUUUAUUUGACGGUAAUCAACCAGAAAGUCACGGCUAACUACGUGCCAGCAGCCGCGGUAAUACGUAGGUGGCAAGCGUUGUCCGGAUUUAUUGGGCGUAAAGCGAGCGCAGGCGGAAUGAUAAGUCUGAUGUGAAAGCCCACGGCUCAACCGUGGAACUGCAUCGGAAACUGUCAUUCUUGAGUGCAGAAGAGGAGAGUGGAACUCCAUGUGUAGCGGUGGAAUGCGUAGAUAUAUGGAAGAACACCAGUGGCGAAGGCGGCUCUCUGGUCUGCAACUGACGCUGAGGCUCGAAAGCAUGGGUAGCGAACAGGAUUAGAUACCCUGGUAGUCCAUGCCGUAAACGAUGAGCGCUAGGU